AGCAAACUUUGCAGCAGCAAAACCAAACAAACCGGCGCGAUGCUCCGCCGGCGCCCGCGGCCCGCCGCGUUCCUCCGCCUCUUCGCCACCUCCUGCCGCCGCAGCUCCCUCCACCCCUCGCAGCCGCAGCUCCCGAACCCUGCCGAUCUCCCGCCGCCGCCGGUGGCGAAGAAGGUCCCGUUCACCGUGUCGGCGCACGGGAGGUCGUGGAGUGACCCGUACCACUGGAUGCGCGAUACCUCCGACCCGGACCUCGCUGCUCUCCUCGCCGCAGAGAACGCCUAUGCCGACGCCUUCGUCGGCUCGGCUGGCGGCGGCGGCCUCCGCGCGCGCCUCGCCGCCGAGAUGCGCGCCCGGCUGCCCCCUUCCGCCGCCACACCGCCCCAGCCGUGGGGCCCUUGGUUGUAUUAUCAGUAUGUUCCAGAGGGAAAGGAAUACCCUGUUUUAUCUAGGAAGUUGAAGCCCUCUCAUGGUCUAGCACGAGCUCUGCUGGAUUAUCUUUCUGGUUCAGAGAAGGAGCAAGUGUUGCUUGACUGGAAUGAGGUUGCAGAGAAAAAUGGUUAUGUGCACAUUGGGAGUUGUCGAAUCUCUCCAGAUCAUAGGUUCCUUGCAUAUACAGUUGAUACAUCUGGUGGUGAACUAUUUUCCCUUGAAGUAAAAGAUCUUCAAUCUGAGCAUGUCAUCUUUAGCUCACCAGACAAAGGAAUAGUUAGUUUAGCAUGGGCUCGCAACAGUGAAAGUUUGUUUUACACUGUCUGCGAUGAGACUCUACGUCCUAACCAGGUUUUCUGUAAAAAGUUACAAUCGCAUGAAGCAGGGUUUCUAGUUUUCACAGAGGAGGAUGUUAACUGUUGUGUAGAUAUUACAAGCACAAAAGAUUUUAAGUAUAUAACUGUCAAUUCUAACACAAGGACCUCAUCUGAGGUUUUUGUGAUGGAAUCUGAUAAUGUAAGGGAGGGCUUAUGGCCUAUACGGAAACGUGUUGAUAAAGUUCAGUACUUUUUGGAGCACCACCAUGGGUUCUUUUACAUCCUUACCAAUGCUCCUGUAAAUGACACUGAAAUGAUGACUGAAGGCUACUAUCUGGCCAGGUGUCAGGAUGAAAAGUCAUUGGUGGAUAGGUGGCAGAUAGUGACAUUCCCUGGGUCGGACUGCACCAUUCAGGAUAUGGAUAUUUUUCAUGAUAAUUUAGUUCUCUUUCUUCGAAAGAAUGGAAGCCCUCUUUUUUGCUCCAUCAAUAUGCCAAUUGAUGUUGAUGUUCAGGGGCCAAAGGAAGUUAAUGAUCUCAACCCAUGGUAUUUCCCGGUACCAUCAAACAUGUGCAGUAUUAUUCCGGGAUCCAACAAUGAUUUCAUGUCAUCUACUUAUCGUCUGGUUGUUUCAUCGCCUGUGAUUCCAGACUUAACUGUGGACUACGAUUUGAGAAAAAAGACUUUCACCAUUCUUCAUCAAGAGGAAGUAACUAGCCUGUCUGCAAAUCUAGGCACCGUGGGCAAAUCCAAUGUUUCAAGCAUCCAACAAAACCUGCAGCUUGUUGAAACUUCACAAAGUUGGAGUGAUCUUUCCAAGCUAUACUUAUGUAAAAGGAUCGAAGUUAUAUCACAUGAUGGUGUUUUGAUACCAUUAGUCAUUUUGUAUUCACGGGAAGCACAUCGUCAUGGAGAAUCACCUGGGAUCUUAUAUGGCUAUGGAUCUUAUGGAGAAGAUUUGGACAAAAGCUGGUGUUCAGAGAGGUUAAGUCUCCUCUCUCGAGGAUGGGUUCUUGCAUUUGCAGAUGUUAGGGGUGGAGGAGAUUUAUCUUGGCAUCAUGCAGGAACCAAAUCUAACAAGAUAAAUUCAAUUCAUGAUUUUGCUGCAUGUGGUAUGCAUCUCAUCAAGGCAGGCUUGGUUCACCAAAAUCGUCUUUGUGCUAUAGGCUGUAGUGCUGGCGGUCUGCUGGUGGGCGCAGUCAUUAAUAUGCUUCCAGACUUAUUUUCUGCUGCAGUUCUCAAGGUCCCUUUUCUAGAUAUCUGCAACACAAUGUUGGAUCCUACUUUACCUCUCACUGUCUUGGACUAUGAAGAGUUUGGUGACCCUAAUAUCCCAGCUGAAUUUGAGGCGAUCUGCAGUUAUUCUCCUUAUGAUAACUUGUCAUCUGGUGUCUGCUAUCCACCAGUCCUGGUGACUGCCUCGUUUAAUGAUACAAGGGUAGGGAUUUGGGAAGCUGCGAAGUGGGUUGCAAAAGUGAGAGAUAUCACAUGCAGAUCCUGUUCCAAAUCAGUUAUUCUCAAAACUAAUAUGCAAAGUGGCCAUUUUGGUGAGGGUGGGCGCUUCAUGCACUGUGAUGAGACGGCCCUCGAUUAUGCAUUUCUCAUGAAGGCCUUGCAGUUGGAUGACAACUAUUGCUUAAUGGACCCAUGCCUGAGGCUUCUCACGGAACAGAUUUGUGCGACUUAGUGCAAAACUGAGAAUAUCAACUUGUUCUUUCAAAAUACCACGCCUGGAUGCUGUUCAUCAGCAGUGCCAAGGUGAAGUGCUUAUCAGUUAAGUGGUCGAGUAGGCCUGUUGCUCCGUUAUGGCAUGUGUUUCUAGUUGAUAACCUGAUGGUGUUAGAUAUGGAGCUAUUGGGAAAGAAUAAAUGGUUCAGCAUGGAUGUUGAUUUUGACUUCCUACUUCCUGGACCAGGGGAAGCGUUCAGUUGGUUAUACCAACCUGCAUGAGGUUAUGCGACCUCAACUUUACAUAGUCCGCAGGUAGGACGUGCUAUGAUGCCAUUAUGGGCGUCGAAUGGCAGUGUUGUGUGGUGUGGUACUGUGGUUGGUCCAUGCCUCGAUGGGAUUUAGCUACUUUGCUUCUCGUUCGCGCCUGCUCUCGGUUCUAGCUCCGCAGCGGGUGGUGUCAAUGGAAUCAUUGGGCAACCGAUUGCUUGGUGGAGACGCCGGCGGCGUGCGUUGGUUAUGGUUGCUAUCGCUGUCCGCGAGUUCUAUGAUGCGAUUAUUGCAUCACCAUUGGAGUGCGCGGUGAUUAUUCUGUUGCUGUGGUUUACUUGCUCCGAACGGCUGGACGCCUGGUUAUCAGUGUUGAUGAGAUGACUGGUGGUAUAAUGCCGAGAUAUGAUGGUACAUAACGUACGUCGCUAUGGAUGGACAAUUAUUAUGCCGGCAUGAGGUUCGGAGGUUUGCGAGAAGUUUUACAUAUUUCCAUUUUUGUUUCGUAGUCGGGCGUCUUUUAAACCUUGUAUGCGGAUUGCGACAUGUGCCCUUUUGCGAAUAUAUAGCCAUGAUAAAAAUUUGGCUAUGAAACAGUUGUUUUUUUCUUCCCCUGUCACUGACGAUACCAGAACAAAAUUUCAGUUUGGUAUCA